UCAACCCAUUUAACCUUCUAACCCAUCAAAUUAAAUGAGUUGAUGGGUUGACUCAACUCAUUUUACUAAAUGAGUUGAGUCAACCCAUCAACUCAUUUAACUCUAAACUCAUUGAGUAAUGAGU
rnacentral:pre_miRNA from 1 species